GACAGAGGUGCCAAGCGUUAGGCGGAAUCACUGGGCUUAAAGCGUGUGUAGGUGGAUUUGUAAGUACCUUGUGAAAUCCCAUGGCUCAACCAUGGAACUGCUCGGUAUACUGCGAAUCUUGAGCCACUUAGGGGCUACCGGAACAAAUGGUGGAGCGGUGAAAUGCGUAGAUAUCGUAAGGAAGACCAGUGGCGAAGGCGGGUCUCGUGGACAGUUCCUGACACUGAGGCACGAAGGCCAGGGGAGCAAACGGG
rnacentral:rRNA from 1 species